GGAUUUUCAAAAAUCCAAACCUGAACCCGAUUGCCCGACUGGAAACUCAAAUCCGAAUCCGAAGGAUUUUAAAAAUCCAUAUCCAAACCAAAACCCGACCGAAAUUGAAAUCUGAACACAAACCCGAAAAUCCAAACCCAAACUCUUUAUCAUAUUUCAAAACAUAUUACAUUGAAUCUAAAUUCUCAAAAUGCAAAAUUCAAAUAUAACAUCAAAUUUUUAUGCAAAAUCAAUACGGAUUUGGAUUGGGUUCAGGUUUGGGUCAGGUACAAACAAAAUACAUACCCGAAUCCAAAUCCGUCGGAUUUUCGGUUUCUAUAUCCAUAUCCGAAACUACAUCCAUUUAGCAUAAGGCAAAUCCGUUUCAUUCGGGUUCGAAUUCUGAUAAAAUUUCGGAUAUUCAUAACCAUCGACAUCCCUAGUCAUAAUUCGGUAGUUUCUGAUCAAUUUCGGCAUCGACUUUUUC
rnacentral:lncRNA from 1 species